rnacentral:miRNA from 15 species
CGUGCGAUCUUUCCAUUCCUACU